rnacentral:rRNA from 1 species
UACGGAGGGUGCAAACGUUGCUCGGAAUCAUUGGGCGUAAAGCGUGUGUAGGCGGUCUGUUAAGUCGGGUGUGAAAGCCCUGGGCUCAACCCAGGAAGUGCAUUCGAAACUAGCAGACUUGAGUACGGGAGAGGGUCGCGGAAUUCCCGGUGUAGAGGUGAAAUUCGUAGAUAUCAGGAAGAACACCCGUGGCGAAGGCGGCUCUCUGGGACGGUACUGACGCUGAGACGCGAAAGCGUGGGGAGCGAACAGG